rnacentral:tRNA from 1 species
GGCGCCACGGCCGGGUCGGCGCGCGUGUUCUCGCCGCGCGAGAGCCGUUCGAUGCGGCUGUCGGUC